rnacentral:rRNA from 1 species
CCUACGGGGUGCAGCAGUGAGGAAUAUUGGUCAAUGGACGAGAGUCUGAACCAGCCAAGUAGCGUGAAGGAUGAAUGCCCUAUGGGUUGUAAACUUCUUUUAUAAAGGAAUAAAAGGAGGCACGUGUGCCUGUUUGCAUGUACUUUAUGAAUAAGGAUCGGCUAACUCCGUGCCAGCAGCCGCGGUAAUACGGAGGAUCCGAGCGUUAUCCGGAUUUAUUGGGUUUAAAGGGAGCGUAGAUGGGUUGUUAAGUCAGUUGUGAAAGUUUGCGGCUCAACAGUAAAAUUGCAAUUGAUACUGGCAGUCUUGAGUACAGUUGAGGUAGGCGGAAUUCGUGGUGUAGCGGUGAAAUGCUUAGAUAUCACGAAGAACCCCGAUUGCGAAGGCAGCUUACUAAACUGUGACUGACAUUGAUGCUCGAAAGUGUGGGUAUCAAACAGGAUUAGAUACCCCAGUAGUC